rnacentral:rRNA from 1 species
ACGAGAGAAUUGCUAGCUUGCUAAUAAUUCUCUAGUGGCGCACGGGUGAGUAACACGUGAGUAACCUGCCCCCGAGAGCGGGAUAGCCCUGGGAAACUGGGAUUAAUACCGCAUAGUAUCGAAAGAUUAAAGCAGCAAUGCGCUUGGGGAUGGGCUCGCGGCCUAUUAGUUAGUUGGUGAGGUAACGGCUCACCAAGGCGAUGACGGGUAGCCGGUCUGAGAGGAUGUCCGGCCACACUGGAACUGAGACACGGUCCAGACACCUACGGGUGGCAGCAGUCGAGAAUCAUUCACAAUGGGGGAAACCCUGAUGGUGCGACGCCGCGUGGGGGAAUGAAGGUCUUCGGAUUGUAAACCCCUGUCAUGUGGGAGCAAAUUAAAAAGAUAGUACCACAAGAGGAAGAGACGGCUAACUCUGUGCCAGCAGCCGCGGUAAUACAGAGGUCUCAAGCGUUGUUCGGAAUCACUGGGCGUAAAGCGUGCGUAGGCUGUUUCGUAAGUCGUGUGUGAAAGGCGCGGGCUCAACCCGCGGACGGCACAUGAUACUGCGAGACUAGAGUAAUGGAGGGGGAACCGGAAUUCUCGGUGUAGCAGUGAAAUGCGUAGAUAUCGAGAGGAACACUCGUGGCGAAGGCGGGUUCCUGGACAUUAACUGACGCUGAGGCACGAAGGCCAGGGGAGCGAAAGGGAUUAGAUACCCCUGUAGUCCUGGCAGUAAACGGUGCACGCUUG